CUAGAGACCUCCAGGGGAGUGGUGUGACCCGAGGUCAUAAGGAUCAUAGCAUCUGCCUGACUCCUACCCAACUACUACUACAUUUCAUCAUCAGCGAACAUUGCAUCUUAUUGAGCCAUUCUACGGUUUUAUGGAGCUAGCUGUUCCUAGAUGAUGGAUUGGAUAGUAACAUCAGUAAAUCCCAUGGCCUUGGUUUCUUUCACUGCAAGACAUUUAUUAUUACAAAUAAUGCAAUACUAAAUAACACUGUGAAUGAUAUUUUGGACUUCAACAGGCUGGAACAUUCUGAGAAGCACAGAAAAUCAAGAAAUGUACUGACCUGCCAAGGCUUCAGGAGAGGAUACGUGCCGGUGUCUACAUGGAACUGAAAACCUCCAGAUGGUCCGGCCAAGGAUUGAGCUGUCACUCUACAGCUUUAAUCCUCAAUGAGGCAGCAAUUCUUUUUGGAUCAGUUCCCAUGGACAAAAUACUUAGAGACACAUCAAUAAGUAAGAACUUAAGGGCGUUUGAAAAACUACAGUGAAAUAAAAAUGCUACAAGAACCAGAG